ACGUAGGUGGCAAGCGUUGUCCGGAAUUAUUGGGCGUAAAGGGCGCGCAGGCGGCCGAUUAAGUCUGAUGUGAAAUCCCACGGCUUAACCGUGGAAGGUCAUUGGAAACUGAUUGGCUUGAGUGCAGAAGAGGAGAGUGGAAUUCCACGUGUAGCGGUGAAAUGCGUAGAUAUGUGGAGGAACACCAGUGGCGAAGGCGGCGUUCUGGACUGCAACUGACACUGAGGAACGAAAGCCAGGGGAGCAAACGGGA
rnacentral:rRNA from 1 species